rnacentral:rRNA from 1 species
AGAGUUUGAUCAUGGCUCAGAUUGAACGCUGGCGGCAUGCCUUACACAUGCAAGUCGAACGGCAGCGCGGGGGCAACCCUGGCGGCGAGUGGCGAACGGGUGAGUAAUACAUCGGAACGUGUCCUGGAGUGGGGGAUAGCUCGGCGAAAGCCGGAUUAAUACCGCAUACGCUCUACGGAGGAAAGCGGGGGAUCUUCGGACCUCGCGCUCAAGGGGCGGCCGAUGGCGGAUUAGCUAGUUGGUGGGGUAAAGGCCUACCAAGGCGACGAUCCGUAGCUGGUCUGAGAGGACGACCAGCCACACUGGGACUGAGACACGGCCCAGACUCCUACGGGAGGCAGCAGUGGGGAAUUUUGGACAAUGGGGGAAACCCUGAUCCAGCAAUGCCGCGUGUGUGAAGAAGGCCUUCGGGUUGUAAAGCACUUUUGUUCGGGAAGAAAUCCUUCGAGCUAAUACCUUGAGGGGAUGACGGUACCGGAAGAAUAAGCACCGGCUAACUACGUGCCAGCAGCCGCGGUAAUACGUAGGGUGCGAGCGUUAAUCGGAAUUACUGGGCAAAGCGUGCGCAGGCGGUUCGCUAAGACCGAUGUGAAAUCCCCGGGCUUAACCUGGGAACUGCAUUGGUGACUGGCGGGCUAGAGUAUGGCAGAGGGGGGUAGAAUUCCACGUGUAGCAGUGAAAUGCGUAGAGAUGUGGAGGAAUACCGAUGGCGAAGGCAGCCCCCUGGGCCAAUACUGACGCUCAUGCACGAAAGCGUGGGGAGCAAACAGGAUUAGAUACCCUAGUAGUCC